rfam:Microdochium bolleyi strain J235TASD1 unplaced genomic scaffold Micbo1qcscaffold_29, whole genome shotgun sequence.
GGGCUAAUAGCUCAUUUGGUAGAGCGUUCGCUUUGCACCCAUGACUACUCCGGGGCUCUUUGUCCUGGAGAUGUUCGAGUCCAUCUGCGAAAGGUACAGGGUUCGACUCCCUGUUAGUCCA